UACGGAGGGUGCAAGCGUUAUCCGGAAUCACUGGGUUUAAAGGGUGCGUAGGCUGUUAGAUAAGUCAGUUGUGAAAUUCCCCGGCUUAACCGGGCGAACUGCGAUUGAUACUGUUUAACUUGAAUAUUGUUGAGGUAGGCGGAAUACAUCAUGUAGCGGUGAAAUGCUUAGAUAUGAUGUAGAACACCGAUUGCGAAGGCAGCUUACUAAGCAAAUAUUGACGCUGAGGCACGAAAGCGUGGGGAUCAAACAGGAUUAGAUACCCUGGUAGUCCACGCCCUAAACGAUGAUUACUCGACGUACGCGAUACACAGUGUGCGUCUAAGCGAAAGCAUUAAGUAAUCCACCUGGGAAGUACGACCGCAAGGUUGAA
rnacentral:rRNA from 1 species